rnacentral:rRNA from 1 species
UACGAAGGGGGCUAGCGUUGUUCGGAAUUACUGGGCGUAAAGGGCGCGUAGGCGGUGUGUCAAGUCAGGCGUGAAAGCCCCGGGCUCAACCUGGGAACCGCGCUUGAGACUGGCACGCUCGAGUUCGGGAGAGGAUGGUGGAAUUCCCAGUGUAGAGGUGAAAUUCGUAGAUAUUGGGAAGAACACCAAUGGCGAAGGCAGCCAUCUGGACCGACACUGACGCUGAGGCGCGAAAGCGUGGGGAGCAAACAGG